UACGUAGGGUGCGAGCGUUUGUCCGGAAUUAUUGGGCGUAAAGAGCUCGUAGGCGGUUUGUCACGUCUGCUGUGAAAUCCCGAGGCUCAACCUCGGGCCUGCAGUGGGUACGGGGCAGACUGGAGUGCGGUAGGGGGAGAAUGGAAUUCCUGGUGUAGCGGUGGAAUGCGCAGAUAUCAGGAGGAACACCGAUGGCGAAGGCGGAUCUCUGGGCCUUACCUGACGCUGAGGCGCGAAAGCUAGGGGGAGCGAACAGG
rnacentral:rRNA from 1 species